GACGAACGCUGGCGGCGUGCUUAACACAUGCAAGUCGAACGGAAAGGCCCUGCUUGCAGGGUACUCGAGUGGCGAACGGGUGAGUAACACGUGGGUGAUCUGCCCUGCACUUCGGGAUAAGCUUGGGAAACUGGGUCUAAUACCGGAUAGGAACCAUCUUUAGUGUGGUGGUUGGAAAGUUUUUUCGGUGUAGGAUGAGCUCGCGGCCUAUCAGCUUGUUGGUGGGGUAAUGGCCUACCAAGGCGGCGACGGGUAGCCGGCCUGAGAGGGUGUACGGCCACAUUGGGACUGAGAUACGGCCCAGACUCCUACGGGAGGCAGCAGUGGGGAAUAUUGCACAAUGGGCGCAAGCCUGAUGCAGCGACGCCGCGUGGGGGUUGAAGGCCUUCGGGUUGUAAACUCCUUUCGCUAGGGACGAAGCUUUUUGUGACGGUACCUAGAGAAGAAGCACCGGCUAACUACGUG
rnacentral:rRNA from 1 species